CACACGAGUACGAUAGAUAUUAUUCAUUAUACACCCGUCAAAACCUCAGCCUCUAAUUCUAAAUCAUUUCACAACCCCAACCAAUUAGGGUUCCAAAUUCCAACAAUUCACUCUCUUCAUUUCGAUUCCCCGUUUGUAUACAUACAGCAGGGUAAAAGCAUAGUUCACUUAAGGAAUUUAAAAGCUGUGGUUGUCGGUACUAUCAUACAACAGGAUGUCAGUAACCACCAUUACAGCAUCCACAAACAGUAGUGUGUGUGGAUCCGCAAAUGCUUCAAGAAGGCGUUUAAGACUGAGGAGAAGUCACGACAACCUAAUAU